UAAGACAGAGGUGGCAAGCGUUGUUCGGAAUUACUGGGCUUAAAGGGCGCGUAGGCGGUGGAGUAAGUCUGAGGUGGAAGAUUAGGGCCUAACCCUAAAAUUGCCUUGGAAACUGCAUCACUUGAGUCAGCGAGGGGAUGGCGGAAUUCCAGGUGUAGCGGUGAAAUGCGUAGAUAUCUGGAGGAAGGCCGGUGGCGAAGGCGGCCAUCUGGCGCUGAACUGACGCUGAGGCGCGAAAGCGUGGGGAGCAAACAGGAUUAGAUACCCUGGUAGUCCACGCCCUAAACGGUGGGUACUAGGUGUAGGGCUCGCAAGGGUUCUGUGCCGUAGGGAAACCAUUAAGUACCCCGCCUGGGGAGUACGGCCGCAAGGUUGAAACUUAAAUGAAUUGACGG
rnacentral:rRNA from 1 species